UAGCUUUGAUCUUGGCUCAGAACGAACGUUGGCGGCGUGGAUGAGGCAUGCAAGUCGAGCGAGAAAGCACCUUCGGGUGUGAGUACAGCGGCGGACGGGUGAGUAACACGUAAUCAAGCUGCCCCCGAGACCGGGAUAACAGGAGGAAACUUCUGCUAAUACCGGAUGGAGUUGUCGGAUCGCAUGGUCUGGCGAGUAAAGGUUGGGAUCCUGCGGGACCUUCCGCUCGGGGAGGCGAUUGCGGCCUAUCAGCUAGUUGGUGAGGUAACGGCUCACCAAGGCGACGACGGGUAGCAGGCCUGAGAGGGUGGUCUGCCACACUGGGACUGUGACACUGCCCAGACUCCUACGGGAGGCUGCCGUACAGACGGAUCCGCAAUGGGCGAAAGCCUGACGGAGCGACGCACCGUGGAGGAGAAGGCCUUAGGGUUGUAAACUCCUGUCACGAAUUAUGAAUGGCGUACGGUGAACAGCCGUGCGUUUGACGUAAGUUCGAGAGGAAGCACCGGCUAACUCUGUGCCAGCAGCCGCGGUAAUACAGAGGGUGCAACCGUUGUUCGGAAUCACUGUUUAUAUGGCGCACGUAGGCGGCCAGUCAAGUGCGGAGUGAAAUCCCACGGCUCACCCGUGGAACUGCUUUGCAUACUGACUGGCUGGAGGACGGUAGAGGAGAGCGGAACUCUUGGUGGAGCGGUGAAAUGCGUAGAUAUCAAGAGGAACACCAAAGGCGAAGGCAGCUCUCUGGUCCGUUUCUGACGCUGAGGUGCGAAAGCCAGGGUAGCGAACGGGAUUAGAUACCCCGGUAGUCCUGGCCGUAAACGAUGGGCACUAGCUAGCGGUGGUCC
rnacentral:rRNA from 1 species